GUCGAGCGGACGAUGGGAGCUUGCUCCUGAUGUUAGCGGCGGAGGGGUGAGUAACACGUGGGUAACCUGCCUGUAAGAGUGGGAGAACUCCGGGAACCGGGGCUAAUACCGGAGACUGUUUUGAGCCGCAUGGUUCAAACAUAAAAGGUGGCUUCGGCUACCACUUACAGAUGGACCCGCGGCGCAUUAGCUAGUUGGUGAGGUAAUGGCUCACCAAGGCAACGAUGCGUAGCCGACCUGAGAGGGUGAUCGGCCACACUGGGACUGAGACACGGCCCAGACUCCUACGGGAGGCAGCAGUAGGGAAUCUUCCGCAAUGGACGAAAGUCUGACGGAGCAACGCCGCGUGAGUGAUGAAGGUUUUCGGAUCGUAAAGCUCUGUUGUUAGGGAAGAACAAGUGCCGUUCAAAUAGGGCGGCACCUUGACGGUACCUAACCAGAAAGCCACGGCUAACUACGUGCCAGCAGCCGCGGUAAUACGUAGGUGGCAAGCGUUGUCCGGAAUUAUUGGGCGUAAAGGGCUCGCAGGCGGUUUCUUAAGUCUGAUGUGAAAGCCCCCGGCUCACCGGGGGAGGGUCAUUGAAACUGGGGAACUUGAGUGCAAAAAAGAGAAG
rnacentral:rRNA from 1 species